GGGCCCAUGGUCUAGUGGCUAUGACGCCACUUUCACAGAGUGGAUGCCCCAGUUCAAUUCUGGGUGGGCCCA
rnacentral:tRNA from 1 species